UAAUACGAAGGGUGCAAGCGUUACUCGGAAUUACUGGGCGUAAAGCGUGCGUAGGUGGUUGUUUAAGUCCGUUGUGAAAGCCCUGGGCUCAACCUGGGAACUGCAGUGGAUACUGGGCGACUAGAAUGUGGUAGAGGGUAGCGGAAUUCCUGGUGUAGCAGUGAAAUGCGUAGAGAUCAGGAGGAACAUCCAUGGCGAAGGCAGCUACCUGGACCAACAUUGACACUGAGGCACGAAAGCGUGGGGAGCAAACAGGAUUAGAUACCCUGGUAGUCCACGCCCUAAACGAUGCGAACUGGAUGUUGGGUGCAAUUUGGCACGCAGUAUCGAAGCUAACGCGUUAAGUUCGCCGCCUGGGGAGUACGGUCGCAAGACUG
rnacentral:rRNA from 1 species